rnacentral:rRNA from 1 species
CACGUAGGAGGCGAGCGUUGUCCGGAAUCAUUGGGCGUAAAGAGCGCGCAGGCGGCUUGGCAAGUCGGGUGUGAAAUCCCGGGGCUCAACCCCGGGACUGCAUUCGAUACUGUCAGGCUAGAGGUAGGUAGGGGAGAUCGGAAUUCCUGGUGUAGCGGUGGAAUGCGCAGAUAUCAGGAGGAACACCGAUGGCGAAGGCAGAUCUCUGGGCCGUAACUGACGCUGAGGAGCGAAAGCAUGGGUAGCGAACAGG